rnacentral:lncRNA from 1 species
CAUUACAGACGCCUGUGAGCUACCAUGUGGGUGCUGGGAAUUGAAUUCAGGACCCUGGAAGACCAUUCGGUGUUCUUAUCCACUGAGCCGUCUCUCUGGCACCUUCCUUAACAUUCUUAAUGGUGUGAUUCACUUUACUAAGUCGUGGGGUACCAACUACAACUAACUUGUUUUCUUGUUAGUUCAAUUUUUAUUUGAACUAACAAUAUUUUUAUUUUUGUUUUGUUUUAUUGUGUGAUCAAUAACUUUUAGUAUAUGUCAUGCAUUAAGCUAAAAUAGCAUGCGCAUAUAAACUGGUCACAGCACAGUUGACAGUAAGACAGAGCUCAGGAGUAGUCAACAGGGUUGGUCACCAAGUGUUCCUGAGUGAGCCAUAAUUUACAUUUUGGUCUGGUGGGCUAAUUAUUAUACUUGUAGACUUACUAGGAGAUCAUGCAAUUUGCGGGAGAAAGAUAUGAAUGAAUACUCUUGAUUUUUCUAUCCUAAUCUAGUUUCCAUUUCUAGGUUGGUUUUUUUUUUUUCUUCCUAGGAAUUACCAAGGAUGAUGUUUGAAGUGACUCUCCUCAUUGGCACUCUAAUCUCACUCAUGGAAUCAGAAUUAACCUCUUUGAAGGUUUUUCUGAAAGACUGAUACUGUAUCUACGAGGAUUGGAGCAAC